GUGCUCACUUUGGCAACACAUAUACUAAAACUGGAAUGAUACAGAGAAGAUUAGCUGGCCCCUGGGCAAGGAUGACACACAAGUUUUUAUAGUUUGCAAUAUAUUUUU
ensembl:snRNA U6 U6 spliceosomal RNA